rnacentral:sRNA from 1 species
AAUCAAGAAUAUAAUAUAGGGGGAGGUUGUUAACAGAUAUGCAAAUGUCUAGCUGUUGUUAUGUAUAAAAACAUUAGUGAUCAUAUUCGUAUGUCAUUUCUCUUGUCCCAUAAUUCCAUUAAU